AUGUCUUCUUCAAGCUCCCGCGCCACCUCGCGGAUGCAGAGCCCGGCGCGCGUGGAGAUGCCUAUCUUCGUCUGUCCUCGGUGCCGGGCGGGCGUUGAUCGGAGGGUUUCUCACACACCGAAGAACCGGAAUCGUCCGUUGUACGUGUGCAGUGACAAUGGGGUGAAAUGUUUCUUUCUUUGGGUCGAGGCCAAGACUCUGAUGAGUGAACUGCAAGAAGAGCAUGAAGAAUGGUUGCGCAUGCUGCCACGAACGGCAAUGGCCGCAGCACGAGCUCCGGAAGAAGAGAUGGAGGGCGAAGCACGCACUGACAGAGAGCUAGCUGUUGAGCUUAGGAUGUUGAAGAAGAAGGUUAGGAUGCUUGAAGAUCAAGCACAAAUACCAAUACCCAUUUUCAAUUACUUUUGGGCAUUUGUAGGUAUGGUAAUCGCACUGGGUGUAAUGUUGAAAUUGUAUGGAAAGGCAUGA
rnacentral:rRNA from 1 species